ensembl:rRNA 5S_rRNA 5S ribosomal RNA
GUCUAUGGCCAUACCUCCCUGAACACGCCCGAUCUCAUCUGAUCUCCGAAGCUAAGCAGGGUCGGGCCUGGUUAGUACUUGGAUAGGAGAAAGCGAUGUCAACC